ACGGGGUGCAGCAGGCGCGAAAACUUCACAAUGUGGGAAACCACGAUGAGGGGAGUCCAAGUGCAUGCGCAUAGCGUAUGCUGUUCAGUUGCCUAAAAAGCAGCCGAAGGAAGGGCUGGGUAAGACAGGUGCCAGCCGCCGCGGUAAUACCUGCAGCCCGAGUGGUGGUCGAUAUUAUUGAGCCUAAAGCGUCCGUAGCCGGUCUAGUAAACCUUUGGGUAAAUCGGGCAGCUUAACUGUCCGAAUUCCGAGGGGACUGCUAGACUUGGGACCGGGAGAGGUCAGAGGUACUCCGGGGGUAGGGGCUAAAUGCGUGCCAGUGAAUAUCUUGAAUAUAGCUGGCACGGUUAGCAUUCCUGUAAUCCUCGGGGGACCACCAGUGGCGAAGGCGUCUGACUAGAACGGAUCCGACGGUAAGGGACGAAACCCUGGGUCGCAAACCGGAUUAGAUACCCGGGUAGUCCAGGGCGUAAACGCUGCAGGCUUGGUGUUGGGGAUCCUACGAGGAUGCCCAGUGCCGGAGUGAAGAUGUUAAGCCUGCCGCUUGGGGAGUACGUCCGCAAGGAUGAAACUUAAAGGAAUUGGCGGGAGAGCACUGCAACGGGAGGAGCGUGCGGUUCAAUUGGAUUCAACGCCGGAAAACUCACCGGGAGCGACGAUUACAUGAAGGUCAGGCUGAUGACCUUACCUGAUUUUUCGAGAGGUGGUGCAUGGCCGUCGUCAGUUCGUACCGUAAGGCGUUCUGUUAAGUCAGAUAACGAACGAGACCCUCACCCUUAAUUGCUAGUUCAUUCUC
rnacentral:rRNA from 1 species